UGAAGGGAGAUACUGACUUAGAAAUACAGGUGAACUCAUGAAAAGAAGCUCAUGAAAUACUCAUGAAAGAAGCUCAUGAAAUACAUUAAUAUGCCUUUUUCAGAAUAUAUUUCACCAAUUUUAAGAAGUCCCUGACAUCAAAACAUGGCUUAUUUUGUUCCUGGACUCUUCAGUGAUGUUGAGCAGAGUCUGAGUGAACCUGCUGUCAGACAGGUUGGGCCGAUAGACGAUUCCAUCGUCCAUCGCCGAUGGCUGAUAGACAUCACGAUGCUGCGCCGGCAAACAGCGUCAUGAGCUCCAGUAUCUCGUGCGUGCAUCCGUUGUCAUGCAACAGAGAAGUUGCGUCUGUGGACAGUUGUGAACGCGCUGACAGCUGGUUGCCCAGGCUUUGGGUUAAAGGAGCCACCGGUAUUUGGUCCUGUUGUUUUUUUCUCAAAAACCGGCAGCCGCUGACUUGCAUUUAAGAAUCACCAAGGGCAACGGUUUCACCUAAAACACCUUUACUGUUCUACUGCAAAAACCUUGGAUGACCUGAGGGUGAGUAAAUUAACAGCAAAUUUUCAUUUUGGGGUGAACCAUCCCUUUAAAUGCAGAGUAAAUUUCCCUACAUGCUCAGUAAAAGUAAUCAGCCAAUACACUGGUGACGGGAAUGACGACGCCCAAAGCAGCAGAACUGUACAAAUGCUGGACAUCCACACACCGCACCACAGUAUUAUCAACUAGC